GUGAUGCCAUUUUCAGCUUGGAGGAAAUGGCCUUUGAGCAAGACCUCAGUGGAGUGAGAGAGGGUACCCUUUGGAUGUCAGGAGGGAAGGUAUUCCAGGCAGAGGGAACCACAAGCUCUAAGACCCCAAGACAGAGUUCACCUGGCAGAGUCACCAGGCAGCAAUGAGGUCAGAAUGGCCAGAGCAGAGUGACCAAGGGGUAAGAGUGGGCCAGGAGCCAGAGCAGGGUUCCUUGAUGGCCAUGUAAGGACAGUGGAUUUUCAUCUCAGCUCAAUGAGAAACUGCUGGAGAAUGUUGAGCACCGAAUGAUAUGAUGACUUAUGUUUGUUUUUACAGUAUUUCAUUUUUUUUUUUUUAGAGACAUGGUCUUGCUCUGUUGCUCAAGCUUGAGUCAGAGGCAUGAUCAUAGCUCACUGAGGCCUCAAACUCCUGGGCUCAAGCGAUCCUCCCACUUUAGCCUCAUGAGUAGCUAUGACUACAGGAUCACUGGUGUGGUGUACAAGGAUGGAUUAAAUGAACAAGGUACAAUAAUGGAAAAAGUGUGACCAGUGAGAUGGUGGUUACAAUACUCCAGAACAGUGUCGCUUCCUCCACGACGUUUUUCCUGACCUCUCCUCUAUACUCCUGGGUUUAUCACAUCAAGAUACAGAGUGUUCAUCAAAGAAUCAUUAGAAGAAGAAAAAGUUGGGAAUCUACUAUGGACCAAUAGGGAAAACAGUUAAAUAAAUAAUGAUACAUCUAUUUGAUGUAUUACCAUGCAAAACACUCUUAAAAAUUAAAAGAAGAUGUAGAAGA